rnacentral:rRNA from 1 species
AUUGAACGCUGGCGGCAGGCUUAACACUUGCAAGUCGAGCGGAGUGAUGGUGCUUGCACUAUCACUUAGCGGCGGACGGGUGAGUAAUGCUUAGGAAUCUGCCUAUUAGUGGGGGACAACAUCUCGAAAGGGAUGCUAAUACCGCAUACGUCCUACGGGAGAAAGCAGGGGAUCACUUGUGACCUUGCGCUAAUAGAUGAGCCUAAGUCGGAUUAGCUAGUUGGUGGGGUAAAGGCCUACCAAGGCGACGAUCUGUAGCGGGUCUGAGAGGAUGAUCCGCAACACGGCGACUGAGACACGGCCCAGACUCCGACGGGAGGCAGCAGUGGGGAAUAUUGGACAAUGGGGGGAACCCUGAUCCAGCCAUGCCGCGUGUGUGAAGAAGGCCUUAUGGUUGUAAAGCACUUUAAGCGAGGAGGAGGCUCUUUUGGUUAAUACCCAAGAUGAGUGGACGUUACUCGCAGAAUAAGCACCGGCUAACUCUGUGCCAGCCGCCGCCGUAA